GAUGAACGCUGGCGGCGUGCUUAAUACAUGCAAGUCGAACGAAGAGUCUUUGUAGCAAUACGAGGGCUUCUUAGUGGCGAACGGGUGCGUAACGCGUUGGUGACCUGCCCCGAAGUGUGGGAUAACAGUUCGAAAGGAUUGCUAAUACCGCAUAUGGUUUUCCGGAUUAGAAGCCGGAUCUCUAAAGCAGUAAUGCGCUUCGGGAGGGACCUGCGUCCCAUCAGCUAGUUGGUGAGGUAACGGCCCACCAAGGCUACGACGGGUAGGGGACCUGAGAGGGUGGUCCCCCACACUGGCACUGAAACACGGGCCAGACACCUACGGGUGGCAGCAGUAGGGAAUAUUGGGCAAUGGGCGAAAGCCUGACCCAGCAACGCCGCGUGCAUGAUGAAGGUCUUCGGAUCGUAAAAUGCUUUUCUGAGAGAUGAGAAAGGACAGUAUCUCAGGAAUAAGUCUCGGCUAACUACGUGCCAGCCGCCGCGGUAAUAC
rnacentral:rRNA from 1 species